rnacentral:rRNA from 1 species
AGAGUUUGAUCCUGGCUCAGGAUGAACGCUGGCGGUCUGCUUAACACAUGCAGGUCGAACGGGAUCCUUCGGGAUUUAGUGGCGGACGGGUGAGUAACGCGUGAGAAUCUGCCCUUAGGUUGGGGACAACAGUUGGAAACGACUGCUAAUACCCAAUGUGCCGAGAGGUGAAAGGUUAACUGCCUGGGGAUGAGCUCGCGUCUGAUUAGCUAGUUGGAGUGGUAACGGCACACCAAGGCGACGAUCAGUAGCUGGUCUGAGAGGAUGAUCAGCCACACUGGGACUGAGACACGGCCCAGACUCCUACGGGAGGCAGCAGUGGGGAAUUUUCCGCAAUGGGCGAAAGCCUGACGGAGCAAGACCGCAUGAGGGAGGAAGGCCUAUUGGUUGUAAACCUCUUUUGAUAGGGAAGAACACAAUGACGGUACCUAUCGAAUCGGCAUCGGCUAACUCCGUGCCAGCAGCCGCGGUAAUACGGGGGAUGCAAGCGUUAUCCGGAAUGAUUGGGCGUAAAGAGUCCGUAGGUAGUCAAUCAAGUCUGCUGUUAAAGAGCGAGGCUUAACUUCGUAAAGGCAGUGGAAACUGAUAGACUAGAGUGUAGUAGGGGCAGAGGGAAUUCCUGGUGUAGCGGUGAAAUGCGUAGAGAUCAGGAAGAACACCGGUGGCGAAGGCGCUCUGCUGGGCUAUAACUGACACUGAGGGACGAAAGCUAGGGGAGCGAAUGGGAUUAGAUACCCCAGUAGUCCUAGCGGU